AGAACGAACGCUGGCGGCAGGCUUAACACAUGCAAGUCGAACGCCCCGCAAGGGGAGUGGCAGACGGGUGAGUAACACGUGGGAACAUACCCUUCGGUUCGGAACAACGUUUGGAAACGAACGCUAAUACCGGAUACGGCCUCUGGGCGAAAGAUUCAUCGCCGAAGGAUUGGCCCGCGUUCGAUUAGCUUGAUGGUGAGGUAACGGCUCACCAUGGCGACGAUCGAUAGCUGGUCUGAGAGGAUGGCCAGCCACAUUGGGACUGAGACACGGCCCAAAACUCCUACGGGAGGCAGCAGUGGGGAAUUUUGCGCAAUGGGGGAAACCCUGACGCAGCAACGCCGCGUGGAGGAUGAAGUCUCUUGGGACGUAAACUCCUUUCGACAGGGACGAUAAUGACGUACCUGUAGAAGAAGCCCCGGCUAACUUCGCGCCAGCAGCCGC
rnacentral:rRNA from 1 species